AAGACUAUACUUUCAGGGAUCAUUUCUAUAGUUGUUGACUAGAGAAGGUUCUCUGAACGUGUAGGGCACCGAAAGCCACGAGGAGGAGGCGCAGCGUUCUCUCCUGAGCGUGAAGCCGGCUCUAGGUGUUGCUUUUCUGCAGCUGCCUUUUGCCAUUGAUGAUCGUUCUUCUCUUCCUUCUUGGAGGAGUGAGAGGGAGAGGACGCAGUCUGAGUGGUU
ensembl:snoRNA